rfam:Dickeya dadantii 3937, complete genome.
GUUCACUGCCGAGUAGGCAGCUUAGAAA